GAACAUGAUCUAUACCACUUGAAAUAUUAGAGUCAAUUUUAUACAUUUUCGAUAUUGUUCUCUUAUCCAUCAAGUGACCAAAAUUGAACUGGUUGAUAAUAAAUUAUUUGGUAAAGAAAGUGAUGAUAGGAUUUUUAAUCAAAGAUGCAAGAGUAUAGAUCUGUUUUAAAUAGCUAAAGAAUUUUCUAACCAAAAAUUCAAUUGAUUUGGAUUUCUUUACAACCGUUAAACGAAAAACGCUUCAUAUCGGCAUCUAAAAUUACAAUUUUGAAAACCUUUGAGAUUAUUGAACAAAUAUGUGCAAGAUUUGAAAUUUGAUUUCGUAACACUUAAAGUGAUAUAGAUUAUGUUCAAUCGAUGUCGACUUAUCAUUUGAGGCUCACAUCAUUCGAAAACAAAAUGGUCGGUAAACGACAGGUCGUUUGCUAAAGAUAGAUUCUGCCUACUAUCGUUUGCCUAUAUAUCAUAUAUAUAUAUAUAAUAUAUAUAUAUAUUAUAUUAUAUAUAAUUAUAAUAUAUAUAUUAUAUAUAUAUAUUUAUAUAUAUAGGUUAUAUGUAUAUAUGUAUAUGUAUAUGUAUAUGUAUAUGUAUAUGUAUAUGUAUAUGUAUAUGUAUAUAUACAUAUACAUAUGUAUGUAUAUAUACAUAUACAUAUAUAUAUAUAUAUAUAGAAUUGAGCUCCUAUGCUUUUAAAAGUACCAAGUUAUUGGUGCUUGCAGAUUUUUAGCUAUUGGAUUAAAAGAUAUGCGGUUAAGAUGAUGUGGGCCCCCUAGGGUUUAGUGGGUGGUUGGUUGAAUAGUAUAAUCUAAUGGUUGAAAAUGAUCCGAGGAGUAGAUCUAACGGUAAAAAACUUACAAGCACCAAGUGCUUGGUACUUUUACGAGCACCAUAGCUGGACUCUCUCUCUCUCUCUCUCUCUCUCUCUCUCUCUCUCUCUCUAUAUAUAUAUAUAUAUAGUUGAGCUAGAAUACUAAUGAUAGUAAACGAGCCGUUUUACUACCAAUUUGUUUUCGAUGAUAGAGCUUCCAAAUUGACGAUCGGCUCCGUUAAAUAUGAUCUAAACCAUUUAAACUACCUAGAAAUCAAAUUUCACGCACUUCGAUAUUGUUCUUUUAUCCAUCAAGUGAACAGAAAAAUGAAUAGCUGAAAAUGAAUUCAAUUGAUUUUAUCCAUCAAGAGUAUAGAUCUUGUUUUAAAUAGUUUAAAGAAUAUUCUAACAAAAAUUCAAUUGAUUUGGAUAUCUUUACGCCGUUAAACGAGAAAACGCCUUUUAUCUACCAUUAAAAUUACAAAUUUUGAAACCCUUUGAUCAUUAGGCAAAUGAUGUCGAAAAGAUUUGAAAUUUGAUUUCUAAACACUUCAAGUUGUAUAGAUCAUGUUCAACGGAGCCGAUCAUCAAUUUGGAAGCUCUAUCAUCGAAAAUAAAUAGGUAGUAAAAUGGCUCGUUUACUACUGAUAGUAUUCUAGCAAAACUCUACAUAUAUAUAUAUAUAUAUAUAUAUAUAUAUAUAUAUAUAGAGCUAGGCUCCUAUACUUUCGAAAGUACGGAGGCCUCCGUGCUUGUAAGUUGUUUUCAAUGAUGGGACGUCCGAUUCGGCGAUUGGUUCUGUUAAACAUGAUCUACGCUAUUGUAACUAUCUAGAAACCAAAUUUCAUAAUUUUUUGACUUCGUUUGCCUAUUGAACGAGUAGCCUCAAAUUGAACGACUGAAAAUAAAAAUCUCAUAAAAAAUAGUGAUAAAUGACUCAAAUUUCAAAUCAGAAGUAUUGCUCUUGCUCUUGAUGUUAAGUAGAAUUUUCGAUUAAUGUUUCAUGUAAUUUGGAUACUUCUACACCGUUGAACUUAAAAAUGUGUCACAUCGGCCGUUAAAAUAGUCAUUUUGAGACCCUGUGAUCGCUUGGUAGAUGAUGUCGAAAAAUUAUAAAAUUUGGUUUCUAGAUAGUUCCAAUAGCAUAGAUUAUGCCUAACGGAGCCGAUGGUCGAAUUGGAUGUCCUAUCAUAGUAAACAACUUACAAGUACAGAGGCCUCCGUACUUUCGAAAGCACGGGAGACGUACUCUAUGUAUGUAUAUAUAUAGGGUAAAUUACAUACUCGGAGUCCUCACAUUUUCAUCAAAUUUCACUUGUGAGUGCCCACCGUUUUUUUUUGCAAUGAGUCCCUAAUCAUUUUGAUUUCAUUACAAUUAGGUCCCAACCGUUAAAAAACUGUUAGCAAUUAAUCGGAUCGCUACUCAUCAGGCCUUUGCAUACUCUUUUGGCAUGUCAAUUAGGUCCUAAACAAUUUGCACAUUUUUCAUUAGUCCGUAAUAAAACAAUUUCAAAUUUUAAAUUAAAUCAAAAUAUAUUAAAAUUAAAAUUUUAACCUAACGAGAAAUUAGAAUUUUGAAUUUGAUUAAAACUAAUAAAAUUUGAAUGGAAAUUAAAAUUAAAUUAAAAUUUUAAUUGAUCUAAAUUUUGAAUUCAAAAUUAAAAUUGAUUUUGAUUUUGAUAUUCAAUUUACAUUUAAAAUAAGAAUUUGAAACCGUAAAGUAAAUUUAAAAUAAUGAAUUAAAUUAAAAUCAUAUUCAAUUAAUUUGAUUUUAAAUUUAAUUUGAAUUAAAAUUUAAUUUGAAUUUAAACUGAUCAAAUUCACAUUUAGAAUUUGAAAUCAAAUCGACGUUUUGAAAUUUAAAUUAGAAUUGUAUAAUCCAAAUGUAAUUGAAUUAAAUUUAAAAUUUAAAAAUUAAAAUACAAAAUAGAAUUUGAAUUUCAAUUUAAAAUUUGAUUCAAAAUUAAAAAAAAUUAAAAUUUAAUCUUAAAUUAAUUUUUUUUAAAUUUAAAAUUUAAAUUGGUUAAUUACACCAAUUGGUCCUCAACCUGUCACCAUUUUCAAUAAUUCCCAAACUUUUUUUUUGCAAUUCCGUUGACAGCAGCGCCAACCGUGUGACUUGACAUGGGCGCGCAUCAGUGGCCUGACGGGGUUGACGGUAGCAUUUUUCGUCAAUUUUAACAGGCUAUCGAACUGGCUUGGACUUAAUUGAAAUAAAACAAAAAGAUAGGGAGCUUGAUUGCAAGAAAAAAAAAGGUUGGGGCCUAAAUUAAAAAUAUGGUUAGGACACAUUGGGUAUUACCCUAUAAUGAUAUUAUAUAUACUAUAUAUAAUAAUAUAUAAUGAUAUUCUAUAUGCUUAUAUAGAGUGAGGCUACUAUUGCUAUCGUAAGCACGGAGCCUCCGUGGCUUCAGCUCAUUCGAUUUUGCGGACUUUCGAAUCAUCGUCGGCAUUCGUUUAAAUGAUCUAGAUAUUUGAUAUGUUACCUAGACAAUAAAUUUUAGAUUACGAUAUCAUUUCUAGUGAACGAAGGGGCUUAAAAUCAAUGGGUGAAAAUAAAAAUCUACACUAAAUGUGAUAAUAUGGACUUAAAAAAUAUUAAAUCAAGAUAUUGAUCUUGUUUAUUAGUAUACAAAAUUUCUUAAUCAAAAUUUCACGGAUUGAUAUUUUACAACCGUUAAACUUCCAAACGUUCAUACGACAUUAAAAUUUGUUGAUUAUGAGCCCAUCAACUCACUAGCAAAUGAUAUCGAAAAAUAAUAAAUUUAAUUUUCUACGUACUUGGGAAAUACUGCUAGAUCAAGUUUAACAGGGUCAUCGCUUGUCACACCCCACCCCUCCUCCCCCUUCCGAAUCGCAACUCAAACAAGCUAGGAGGCUACUACCCGUCACCAUACAAUAGACCUCACUCGAAUAUAUAACACUAUAUAAAUAUAAAUAUAUAUAUAUAUAUAAUUGUAUAUUAUAUAUUUUAUACUGAUAUAAUUUAUAUUAUAAUAAUAUAUGGUGUUGCUGUUGUUGUGUGUAACGCUUGGUCAGUGUGUGUGUGUGAUUGUGUGUGUGUACAGGCAAAGGUACUAUCCAGCCUGAAUUAAAAAUAAAAGAACAAUAGUCCAACACAGUACGUAACCAAGAUGUAAUAACCAUGUCUCAUAAUGAAAUAUAAAAAAAAGAAAGCAAUGAACUACGCGCUUACACGCUCGCGCUCGCCGCCGUUGCCUGCUCGCUCUUUGCCCCUCGCCACCCAUUCCCUCCCUUUCCCCCUCUUGCCUGUGCUCCUCCGUGUCUCCCUCGCCCUUUUUGCUCACACUCGGUCUCUGCGCCGUUUGCUCUUUCCCCGUCGCCCCUCCCCCCUUGCUUUCCAUUUUUGCUCCCACCUUUUUCUCUCUCCUCUGUUUGCUCCUAUGCUUCUGCUGCGCCAGCCUCUCUCUCUUGUUCCCGCCGUUUUUUUCUGCCGUGUCCUCCUUUUGCCGCUCUUCCGCUGCCUUUGCUCCUCCCUAUCUUACCUCUUCUACCCCUGUGGUCUCCCCUUCUCCUUGUGUCGGUCCUUCCCGUGCGCUUCUCCCUAUUGCCGUUCCGCUCGUUUCCCAGCCCCUUGCUCGGCCCCUGCUCCCUCCUCUUUCAUCGCUGUCCCGGCCUCUCUCUCUCUCUCUCUAUCGAGACAUGCAGCCUGCGCGCGCGCGCGCGCGCGCGUAGCCGCCGCGCCCGCGCGCCUCCCUGGCCUCCUCUUCCUCGCCCCUGUUGGAUGCUCUUCCUUUUCUGACCUUGGCGUUUCCCUCUGUGCGGUCGGCCUGUGGGCCCUCGGGUUGCGUGGGUGUUGGUUGCAUAGUCUCACUCCCCGCCUUGCCCUUGCUCCCCCCGGUCUCCCGGCCGCACCUGCUAGUCCCUCUUCGUGCUCUGACGCCCCCCGCAGGCCUAUGCUCUCUCUCUCUCUCUCUCUCCUCUCCCUUCGUUCCUCCCUCCUCCUCUCACUCUCUCUCUCUCUCUCAUAUCUCUGAGUUUUGCUAGAAUACUAUCAGUAGUAAACGAGCCGUUUUACUACCUGUUUAUUUUCGAUGAUAGAGCUUCCAAAUUGACGAUCGGCUCCGUUGAACAUGAUCUAUACCACUUGAAGUGUUUAGAAAUUAAAUUUCAAAUCUUUUCGACAUCAUUUGCCUAAUGAUCAAAGGGUUUCAAAAUUUAUAAUUUUAAUAGUCGAUAAGAGGCAUUUUCUCGUUUAACGGCGUAAAGAUAUUCAAAUCAAUUAAAUUUUUGUUAGAAAAUUCUUUAAACUAUUUAAAACAAAAUCUAUACUCUUGAUCUUGAUUACAAGACUCCUAUCAUCAUUUUUUAAAGAAUAUUCAUUUUCAGCCAUUCAUUUUUCUGUUAACUUGAUGGAUAAAAGAACAAUAUCGAAAGUGCGUGAAAUUUGAUUUCUAGGUAGUUUAAAUGGUUUAGAUCAUAUUUAACGGAGCCGAUCGUUAAUUUGAAAGCUCUAUCAUCGAAAACAAAUCGGUAGUAAAACGGCUCGU
rnacentral:lncRNA from 1 species